rnacentral:rRNA from 1 species
CCUACGGGUGGCAGCAGUGGGGAAUAUUGCACAAUGGGGGAAACCCUGAUGCAGCGACGCCGCGUGAGUGAAGAAGGAAUUCGUUAUGUAAAGCUCUAUCAGUAGGGAAGAAAAUGACCGUACCUGAGUAGGAAGCCCCGGCUAACUACGUUCAAGCAGCCGCGGUAAUACGUAGGGGGCAAGCGUUAUCCGGAUUUACUGGGUGUAACGGGAGCGUAGACGGCAUUGCAAGUCUGGAGUGAAAGGCGGGGGCUCAACCCCCGGACUGCUCUGGAAACUGUACGGCUGGAGUGCAGGAGAGGUAAGUGGAAUUCCUAGUGUAGCGGUGAAAUGCGUAGAUAUUAGGAGGAACACCAGUGGCGAAGGCGGCUUACUGGACUGUAACUGACGUUGAGGCUCGAAAGCGUGGGUAGCAAACAGGAUUAGAUACCCUUGUAGUC